rnacentral:rRNA from 1 species
GACGAACGCUGGCGGCGUGCUUAACACAUGCAAGUCGAACGGAAAGGCCCCUUUGUGGUUACUCGAUUGGCGAACGGGCGAGUAACACGUACGUAACCUGCCCUUGCCUUCCGGUUAACUUCAUGCAACUGGGGCGAAUACCUGCCAGGAAUCCUCGCCUCAUGGGUGGGGGUGGAAAGCUUCGGCGGGUUUGGGUGGACUCGCGGCCUAUGAGUCUGUUUGUGGGGUAGUGGGUUACCAAGGCUUUGAAGGGCAGCCAGGCUGCGGGGGCGACCGGCCACAAUGGGACUGGGGUACGGGCCAGGAUCCUACGGGGGGCAACAGGGGGGAAUAUUGGAAAAUGGGGGGGAGGCUGAUGCAGCAACGCCGCGGGCGGGGUGACGGCCUUCGGGUUGUAAACCGCUUUCAGCAGGGGAGGAGCCUGUGGUGACGGUACCUGCAGAAGAAGCACCGGCUAACUACGUG